rnacentral:rRNA from 1 species
AGAGUUUGAUCAUGGCUCAGAACGAACGCUGGCGGCGUGGCUAAGACAUGCAAGUCGAACGGACUAUACAAUUGAGUAAUCGAGAGUAUAGUUAGUGACGAAAGGGUUAGUAAUGGAUAGGUAACGUACCCCGAGCUUCGGAAUAGCGUCAGUUGCUUAGGCAACUUUCCGAAAGGGGCGGUAAUACCGGAUAAUAUCAUGAGUUGAUAGACACAUGAUCAAAGAUUUAUCGGCACGGGAGCGGCCUAUCUCCUAUCAGCUUGUUGGUGAGGUAAAAGCUCACCAAGGCUCUGACGGGUAGCGGGACUGAGAGGUUGACCCGCAACAUCGGGACUGAGACACUGCCCGGACCUCCACGGAGGGCUGCAGUAACGAAUAUUGCGCAAUGGGCGAAAGCCUGACGCAGCGACGCCGCGUGUGUGAAGAAGGCCUGCGGGUUGUAAAGCACUUUCAGUAGAGAAGAAAAGCUUAGGGUUAAUACCCCUGGGUCUUGACGUAACCUACAGAAGAAGCACCGGCUAACUCCGUGCCAGCAGCCGCGGUAAUACGGGGGGUGCAAGCGUUAAUCGGAAUUACUGGGCGUAAAGCGCGCGUAGGCGGUCUGGUCAGUCGGAUGUGAAAGCCCCGGGCUCAACCUGGGAAUUGCAUUCGAUACUGCCCGACUAGAAUAUGGAAGAGGGAAGUGGAAUUUCCGGUGUAGCGGUGAAAUGCGUAGAGAUCGGAAGGAACACCAGUGGCGAAGGCGGCUUCCUGGUCCAAUAUUGACGCUGAGGUGCGAAAGCGUGGGGAGCGAACAGGAUUAGAUACCCUGGUAGUCCACGCCGUAAACGAUGAGAACUAGAUGUCGGGAGGGUUUAGCCUUUCGGUGUCGCAGCUAACGCGUUAAGUUCUCCGCCUGGGGAGUACGGUGGCAACACUAAAACUCAAAGGAAUUGACGGGGACCCGCACAAGCGGUGGAGCAUGUGGUUUAAUUCGAUGCAACGCGAAGAACCUUACCUGCCCUUGACAUUGACAGAAUCCCGUAGAGAUAUGGGAGUGCUUCGGCCUGGAAAACAGGUGCUGCAUGGCUGUCGUCAGCUCGUGUCGUGAGAUGUUGGGUUAAGUCCCGCAACGAGCGCAACCCUUGUCCUUAGUUGCCAGCACGUAAUGGUGGGAACUCUAAGGAGACCGCCGGUGAUAAACCGGAGGAAGGUGGGGAUGACGUCAAGUCAUCAUGGCCCUUAUGGGCAGGGCUACACACGUGCUACAAUGGCCGGUACAGAGGGUUGCCAACCCGCGAGGGGGAGCUAAUCCCAGAAAGCCGGUCGUAGUCCGGAUUGGAGUCUGCAACUCGACUCCAUGAAGUCGGAAUCGCUAGUAAUCGCGAAUCAGCAUUGUCGCGGUGAAUACGUUCCCGGGUCUUGUACACACCGCCCGUCACACCAUGGAAGUAGGUUGCACCAGAAGUAGGUAGUCUAACCCUCGGGAGGACGCUUACCACGGUGUGGCUUAUGACUGGGGUGAAGUCGUAACAAGGUAACC